rnacentral:rRNA from 1 species
GACGAACGCUGGCGGCGUGCUUAACACAUGCAAGUCGAACGAUGAAGCAAAGAAUCGAAGCUUCGGCAGAAAUUCAUUUCGGAUUAGUGGCAGACGGUUGAGUAACGCGUGAGCAACCUACCUCUUACAAAGGGAUAGCCUCGGGAAACCGGGAGUAAUACCAUAUAACAUUGCGACGAAGCAUUUCGAUGCAAUCAAAGCUACGGCGGUGAGAGAUGGGCGCGCGUCCCAUUGACCGGAUGGUGAGGUAACGGCUCACCAUAGUGACGAUGGGUGACCGGCGUGAGAGGGUGACCGGUUAGAGUGGAAGUGAGACACGGGCCAGACACCUAAGGGAGGAAGCAGUAGGGAAUAUUGAACAAUGGAAGGAACUCGGAUGAAGCGACGCCGCGUGAGUGAUGAAGGCAUGCGUUUAGUAACACUCUGUUGUAUGGGAAGAAAAGGACUGUAACAUAGGAGAGAGCUACGGCUAAAUACGUG